UACGUAGGGUGCAAGCGUUUAAUCGGAAUACUGGGCGUAAAGCGUGCGCAGGCGGUGAUGUAAGACAGUUGUGAAAUCCCCGGGCUCAACCUGGGAACUGCAUCUGUGACUGCAUCGCUGGAGUGCGGCAGAGGGGGAUGGAAUUCCGCGUGUAGCAGUGAAAUGCGUAGAUAUGCGGAGGAACACCGAUGGCGAAGGCAAUCCCCUGGGCCUGCACUGACGCUCAUGCACGAA
rnacentral:rRNA from 1 species